CUAACAAUAAGAUCAGAAUGAACUCACCCAUUUAUUUAUUUCUGUUAUAUUUGUUUAAAUCACUAUUCGUGUGACAGAUGUAAUGAGUUUUAUUUGCUAUAUAUAAAUGACAAUAAGACUUCAAGAAUGAAUUAAAAAUAUGCAUUUUAAAAUAGCAGUGCUGCCAUUUUAGAAUUACUGUUGUCGCUUAAUUUCUUGAACGCAGGCAAUGCAUUCAUUCCAGUGUUUCACCGAGUUAUUCUGUGAAUUUUAAAAGACCUCCCAGGUAACAGGGAACGUUCCCAUAACUUUCACUAACGUUAUGUAAAAGUUAUGUAAAUGUUAGAAAAAAAAACGUUCCUGACAUAAUGUUUCUGGAACAGUCUUAUAAUGUUUUCAUAGUUAAAAUACAUUGUCAUAAUGUUUAGGGAAAACGUUCUCAUAACAACGUUCUUGUAACGUCUUUAUGAUGUUAUUUUUACUUGACUGAUGUUCUCAUAACAACGUUCUUGUAACGUGUUUAUGGUGUUAUUUCAUAAUUGAAAAAAUACAUUCUUAAAACACCAUUAUUGCAAACAAUACAAUGGAUUAUUUACCAAGAGAUAUGGAUGUAUGAACUCAUUUCGAUAAAACACCAGAAGUGUAAGCAUCGCUGAGCAUUUCUUUUUAGUAUUUUACUAGCACAGGCGCUUAUAAGCUCAUAAAUUAACUCGCAAACCUUCACCUCACGUGUGAGACUGCAGCGAACGCGGCUUUGUACGAAACCUAAGUAAAAAAAUAAACAAUAUAUUUUUCAUUUUUGAUCGAAUUGUUGUGUGGGUCUACUCUAGAGGGUUUACUCUGCAGAAAACUGACGAGCAACCCAACCCACCAAUAGAUGAGGAAGAUGAGGAUGAUAACGUUAACCAUAGUGGUCCAGCAUAUACAAAGAGAGAGGUUUGUUUGUAUUUUUAGCUUCCACAUUCUUAUUUUUGUAAAUGCAGUUGCAAUAAGAAAACGUAAUUAAAUGCAUUAGCUAGUUUCAGAUAUUUUUAUGAUGAGAAUGUACUGUAGUCAUAUAUGCAUCAGUUUGUCUGAGAUCAUCUGCAAUAUUUCUGUCCUGCUUUUAUAGAUGCUAAAUAUAAGCAGACUAUACAGAUGCUCAUCUCUGCCAAAACACGUGACUACAACACAAACACAGCAUCACAGUUCAUCACUGUACUUAGCACUUCACUCAGGUUGUAAAGACACACAGGAGUAACUGAUUAUUUCUCUUAACAUGCUACACAUUUCUUUUAAUAUGUCUAUGUUUUGUAGUAACCAAUAGAAGCUGAAGGAAUGGCAGACAUUACUCAAAACACCUGUGAACACUGAGCAGUGGUUGGAGUCCAAGACAGUGAAAUCAUCUUUAUUAUACUUCUGACUGAACUAGCAAGGAGCAUUAGAGACAAUGAGAAAGUAGUAAAAUGUUUGCAUUGACCAUUUCACCGUGUUAUUUUUUAUAGUAAUUGCAGGGAAUAUUAACUGAAGAGACCUGAUCAACAGCAAGCUUUGGAUCUACUGAAUGUGUAUUUUUCAAGCAUUUUAUUGCAGGGUUCACUGUUAUUUUUCUGCAUAGCGAUGACUGGUGAGAAGUGUUUAUUAAUUUACUUCAAUGUAUAGUUAACCAGAAGUCUUUUAAGUUUUACCAAACCUCUUACUUUUAUUUCUCUGCAGAAGAAUGCUGGUAAUCAAACCCAACAAGUUUGUCAGGUAUGGACAGUAUUAAUUUUUUGGGUAAACUCUCUUUAAUUGGCAUGCUACACACUAAAUAUUAAUCAUGGUGGGCACAGCCACUUAUUGUGCUGUCACUGCAGUUAGUGCUGUAAAUAGUCUGUCAAAUAACAGGUACAUUGCUACAACAUUAAUUAUUGUUUUAUUUAAAAAUGAUCCAUGGUAAUAGUAAUAGUACAUGAUUUGAAAAUAAAUAAAAGUACAAAAUGGUUUUAAUUUUAAAACUCUGACAUUUACUAAUGUGUUAUUCAAAACACUAAGUUUUGGUGUAUCUUUAUAAUCAGGUAUCAUUAGUUAACAUUAGUAAAUGUUGAAAUUAACAUUAAAUAACUAUGAGCAAUACAUUUGUUACAAUUUGCAUUAAUCUUUGAUACUGUUAAAAAAACAACAACUGUUUUUUUGUUAGUUCAUGUUAGCUCUGAUCCAUUAAAUAAUGUCAACAGGCACAACUUGCUCUUAACAAUGUAUUAGUAAAUGUUGAAAUUAACUAGGUUAAUAUAUUAACUACAGUUAACUAAUGUUCAGUAUUUGUCAUGUUAGUUCAUGUUGGGUAGGUAAUUAAUGUUACAAAUGAAACCUUAUUGUAAAUUGUAAAGUAUCACCUGAGUGUUAAUUGUUUAUACAUGUUAAAUUAUUUAUAUGUAAGUAUUAAUAAAUGUAAGGGUAAUUUAGUUAAAUGUUGUUUUUUAUAUUUAUAUAUACUUUCUGUAUAACUUAAUCCAGUGAGUUCUUUACUUUUAAAAUGCAUUUAUCAUAAUGAGAUGAUUUAGGGUUAGCGGUAAGUAAACAGUUUGGCAGCGUAUCAAUUUUAAAUGAAAGAUUACUGAACAGUAAAGAAGAUAUUAAAAAUGAAGCCGGACCAUGCCCGGGGCACUGUACACUUCAGUGUCGGGCCGAU
ensembl:lncRNA